AUGUGGCUCGAUGACUUAAAGAGGAGGAGGAAUUAUUGGGCGACACUUUUAAUUACCAACGUAACCUCAGUGGAACUGUGGCUUCAUCGAGUUCCAGCUCUAGGCAGACAGCACGUCAGGAAGGCUGUAAGACAUCACAGAGACAGAUGCUUGGCUUUUUCUUUGUCUUGGAGAUUCGCUCUGAUUUUUCAACCUCUUCUGGAGCUUCUAGCUGCUGGCUGUCUGGCCCCCCCUGAUGGUUCUCUGGCCCCUCCUGCUGGUUCUCUGAACUCCCCUCCUGGUUCUCUGCCCAUGCCUGUUGCCUCCUUGGCCUUUCCUGGUGGCCAUCAGCAGAUCCAGUUGGCUCUUGGCUUACUUGUUGGCCAUUGGCCCACCCGGGCAACUCCUGACCGUGGUUGUAAUCGUGGCUGUGUUGGGUGGUUAGACACCGGGUGUUGAUUUGAGCAUCAGCCUCCAGAUUCAUCUGCUCCAGGUAGUUUUCCUUCAUCCUCUCCCUCUCCUCCUUCAGUUGUUGAUGAGUCUGUUUUUUAAGCAGGGACCGCUCUCUCCACUGCUUAUUGAAAUCCUCCAUCUUCUUCCUUCUCUCCUCAGCCUUCAGCAGCUCCUUCCUCUUCUCCCUCUCUCUCUCUGCCCGGGUCAUGGUGGAUGUUAGCCUUGUGUGUCCAGGGAUGGCUGGGAGGGGAGAAGAAGUAGAGUUCACAUUCAUCUUAGUGGAUCUGGUAUCAACUUAAAUGUAAUGGACACAGGGAAUGAAGAAUAGAAAACACAAUUGGAUCUCAAUGAUUCUUUACUCUUUUCAGUUGAGCAAGGCAUGGAAUUUGUCAAUAAAGUGCAAUAAUUCCCAUCCCGAAUUGACCUGGCCCUANNNNNNNNNNGUGAUGAAUGACUUACAGACUGUUCCACAUGAUAGGAGGGGGUAAGAAGACAGUCCCAGUAGGAGACGGAGAUCGUCCAGAAGAAGAAGAGGUGUCCAUCUCCUCAGAGACUGCAGGAAAGGUCUACAAGUUUUAUUUCUGGAAAAUAAAGAGAUGCCUUCGUUCAGCAACAAUGUGUGUUUCUAUGUUUCUGUCACUAGAUGGUGCCAUUGUACACAACAUUUACUCACCAGGUCAGUGAAUUCAGAAACAGUCUUCAGAGUUGAGUCCUCAAGCUCUAGCCUACAACCCAUCAUGCAUCAGCACAACUAAUAUAAUAAUACCUCAUCACAACUUCAUAAUCACAGUACACCUGGAUUGUGUUCACAAAGUGUUUCAGGGUAGGAGUGCUGAUCUAGGAUCAGGUCGCCUCCUGUCCAUCAAAACGUAUUCAGUUUAAUUUAAAAGACCAAACUGAUUAUUGAUCAGCACUCCUUCUAUGAGACUUUGUGAAUAUGAGCCUAUGUGAAAGAACCUUUCUGGCAUAUGCUGGCUAGACAGUACACAGACAAUUCAGAUAGUCCGACAGACAGACAGAAGAGUAGAUACAGAUGGAGUGAUUGAUAGCAACAGAAAUAACGAAGCGGAUGGUUAAUGUAUUGUAAACUUUUGUAAAUAUUUGACUCACCUCAAAUCACAUGUGUCAAACCUCAGUUUUAGUGUUGAACCGAAUAAUAUCCUCGGCAUUAACUUUCUCUGGUCUGGAGCUGUAUUGUUGCGUCAUUUGGAACGCUUGAGCGUCAUAAUCCGUUCACCGCGCCUGCUUGAUUGACAGCUAGGGGUUCUCCUGCGCAUCAGUGUCCAAAAGUCGAUAAUGUUUAGCUACUCAUAAUUGAUAAAGUCAUUUAUAACUAUUUUCACUUGACUUUUAUUUCGUGUAUUUUUG
rnacentral:lncRNA from 13 species